rnacentral:rRNA from 1 species
GACGAACCGUGCAAACGUUGUUCGGAAUCACUGGCUUAAAGGGCGCGUAGGCGGCUCGCCAAGUCGGGGGUGAAAUCUUUCGGCUCAACCGGAAAAGUGCCUUCGAUACUGGCGGGCUGGAGGGAGGUAGGGGCAUGUGGAACUUCCGGUGGAGCGGUGAAAUGCGGUUGAUAUCGGAAGGAACGCCGGUGGCGAAAGCGACGUGCUGGACCUCUUCUGACGCUGGAGGCGCGAAAGCUAGGGGAGCGAACGGG